GCCUCCCUCCGCCGCCACUCACGACUCCUACGGGACGGCGAGCGAGGUGGGAAGUAGUUGCGCAAGUGGGACGAAGCCUGACGCAGCGACGCCGCGGUGGGGGAGUGGAAGCUUUCGGAGUGUAACCCUUCGACCCGGACGAAUGACCCGCAAGGGUUUGACGGUACGGGUAUAAGAAGCCCCGGCUAACCUACGUGCCAGCAGCCGCGGUAAUUC
rnacentral:rRNA from 1 species